GACGUCGACAGAAGGUGCUUGCACUGGAAGUUGAUUGACGUGAGUGGCGGACGGGUGAGUAACACGUGGGUAACCUGCCCUUAAGCGGGGGAUAACAUUUGGAAACAGAUGCUAAUACCGCAUAAAAGUUGAGAUCACAUGGUCUUAAUUUGAAAGACGGCCUUUGACUGUCACUUAAGGAUGGACCCGCGGCGUAUUAGCUAGUUGGUGAGAUAAUAGCCCACCAAGGCGAUGAUACGUAGCCGACCUGAGAGGGUAAUCGGCCACAUUGGGACUGAGACACGGCCCAAACUCCUACGGGAGGCAGCAGUAGGGAAUCUUCCACAAUGGACGAAAGUCUGAUGGAGCAACGCCGCGUGAGUGAAGAAGGUUUUCGGAUCGUAAAACUCUGUUGUUGGAGAAGAACAGGGACUAGAGUAACUGUUAGUCCUUUGACGGUAUCCAACCAGAAAGCCACGGCUAACUACGUGC
rnacentral:rRNA from 1 species